AGUUUGGGAUACCCGAGGGAAACUUCGGCUAAUACCGAAUACCGAAUUUAAGAGGCAUCUCUUGAAUUUGAAAGGGCUUUCAAGCCCCGCUGAUUGAUGGACCUGCGGCGCAGUUAGCUAGUUGGUGAGAUAACAGCCCACCAAGGCGAGGAUGCGUAGCCGACCUGAGAGGGUGAACGGCCACGAAUGGGACUGAGACACGGCCCAUACUCCUACGGGAGGCAGCAGUAGGGAGUUUUCGGCAAUGGGGGAAACCCUGACCGAGCAACGCCGCGUGAACGAUGAAGGUCUUCGGAUUGUAAAGUUCUGUUGUAGGGGAUGAAUGAUUCGGUGAAGGAAAUGUCACGAAUUUGACAGUACUCUACCAGAAAGCCACGGCUAACUACGUGCCAGCCGCAGC
rnacentral:rRNA from 1 species